CUGAAAUAGCACUGAAGCGUCAAUCAAAUCCCAAUUGGGAGGCGUAUUUCUUUCUCACCGACAACCAGCCAUUUGAGGAUGAAC
rnacentral:ribozyme from 1 species